rnacentral:rRNA from 1 species
UACGUAGGGGGCAAGCGUUGUCCGGAUUUAUUGGGCGUAAAAGGCUUGUAGGUGGCCACGCCAAGUCGGAUGUGAAAUCUCCCGGCUCAACUGGGAGGGGUCAUUCGAUACUGGCGGGCUCGAGGCCGGUAGGGGGAAGUGGAAUUCCCGGUGUAGUGGUGGAAUGCGUAGAUAUCGGGAGGAACACCAGUGGCGAAGGCGGCUUCCUGGACCGGUUCUGACACUGAGGCGCGAAAGCGUGGGGAGCAAACAGG